rnacentral:ncRNA from 1 species
UGAUAGCUGUGAAGCGUGAGGUUGCUGCCAGGCAAAAACAUAAGCCUGGACAGGUUUUCCGUGGAGCGAAUGUCAAGUUAGGAAACUGGCGACAA